UUGACAUUGGAGUAGGAGGAGUGUGUUGAGUGGUCUCACUUAUGUCUUCAGAGGGGGGCACUGCUGUUUAUAAUCCAGAACUGAUUUAUUGCUAAAAAAUUUACAUUGACUGGUAUCUUGAGAUUGCAAGUCUGGUGAAAAUGGGAGCACAGCGAACACACACACAAAAUAAUGAGCUAUCAUUCAGUUCUUUUGUAGUUCAAGAAAUAUCUAAAUACAGAUGUAGGACAGGUUGCACUGUGUAGUAUUUAAUUUUCCCUUCGCUCAAAACACAGGUAGAUCUGUCAAUUUGUAAUGAUUGGGAAGAUGUUGGGAUUGUAUCUCUCUAACAGUAAAACUGUACGUGUGUGUGUGUGUGUGUGUGUGCGCGCGCGCACGUGCACUGUUGUUGCUGUCAGCUGCUUGUCUCACUACGCCUGAGGUCUUGCCACAGGGAAUACUUCCGCCUGUCAUCUUCACUCAAGCAUAAUUUCCCAGUCCAGGACAUGGUUUCCUGAGCAGCCCUACCGCCUACACACCACAAAGGGGAAAACCAGUCAACCCUGGGCCAUGACUGCUCUGCUUCCCAACGUCAGUGUUCCUGGGAGUACAGCAGUUCUGCUGCCGACUACCGACUCUUCAUUUAACCUGACAGCAGCUGCUCUGGCAGGACUUGGUUCAGGCCAGUCACUGGCCCCUCUCUGCACACACUGUUGCUGUGGAUUUCUCAAUCGCACCUUGGCAGUGAUUUUCAUGGUCAGCCUGGCAUUUGCCAUUGUGGUUGGAAAUGUUGUCACCCUUACUGUCUUUGUGCAAACGAGGCAGUCACGAACACCACAGGGAUACCUGAAAGUCUCUCUGGCCAUAGCAGACAUGAUGGUCGGUGUCCUUGUGGUCCCUUUCUCUGUCUACACCGAGAUCUCUCUGAUGGUGACCAGCACUCCUCCCAUUUGGUACCAGGGUAGUUCUACUUCCCCAGCCACCUCCUCUUCUCUUGGGGGACUAGUCAGCCCUUGGCAGCCCUGCAUGCUGAUUGGCCCAGUGUUCGCUGGAUGCACUUUUGUCUCUAUCAGCACCAUCUUCCUCAUGACACUGGAGCGAAGUGUGGCCAUCCUACGGCCACUCCACAAGGACGCCUUGGUGACCCGGAGACGAACUCUGCUCCUCAUCCUGCUCUCCUGGGCCGCCAGCUUCCUGCUUGCUCUUGCGCCCCUCAUCUUCAGCAGCAACUUUACUUUGGAGUACAAUGAGUGCAGUCGUAUGUGCAACUACACCCCACUAUUGUUUGGAAGCCAGCUGCCACCUGAUGCCAACAUUUUGCUGUUGUUCCCAGCAUUUGACUUCACAUUGCUCGGUGGCACGUUAGCAGUUAACAUUGUGUCUUUCACUAGCAUCCGACGGUACACCCGAAAACGCAAACUGCUCUCAGAGGGGAGUCUGACUGACGGAGGGGGAGGAGGAGGAGGGGGAGGGUGCCCUCACAGGCCCUCCUUUUCAGACAUCAAAGCUGCCAAGACAAUUGGCAUACUAACAUUUGCCUUCACAGCAUCCUUCACACCCAUCGCAGUGUUUGUGCUCGGGAAUGUGGUGGGAUACACCUGGUGUAACUUUUCCUUUUUUGCCUUCUGGAUUCUGACAGGAAACAGUUGCUGUAAUGUAAUUAUCUACAGUGUCAGGGACCACCGCUUCAGGAAGGGUGUGACACUGCUUUUCCAACGAGAACAGUCCCCCCCACAUGGCGAGAAGACCUGA
rnacentral:lncRNA from 15 species